UUGUGAUAAGCGGGGUGCUAGCGGUACCUUGUGACCCGAAAUCCGCUUAAGGCGGGGCCGAAUUCCCGCGCCGAGGAUUGGAUCGGAAAAAUAAAUGGUUCAGACCGGUCGCCGCGUAACAGACACUUAUGAACCUCGUCAGGUCCGGAAGGAAGCAGCGAUAAAUAAUGAUGUCUGUGUCGCGGAUCGAUCCCGGUCAUGCAAUCCUUUAUAUGUUUCGAAAUAAUUCCAGGCCGGGUUCACAG
rnacentral:SRP_RNA from 1 species